AAGAAGCAUAAUAAGGGGGGAAACAACAUGGAGUUCAUACAUGAUAUAAAAGACAGAUAAUUCACGUAGUAGAAUCUAAAUGCAAAAGUAGUAAAACACAUUCAUGACCAAAUAAAAGAAUAGGUAACUCAGCCCACCCCAAAAACAGCUCAACCACCAUGAAAAGUUAGAACAUAAUAAUUCCCUAGACUCGACCCCUCCCUGAUUAACAACAUUAUUAAGCAGUGGUUCCUUUAUUAAAGGUGUAGUGGCCGUGCUGCUACAUCCCUCUUUUCCCAAAGCAGAAAUCAGGUGCCUGCAUCAAACAAUGCAAGAGUGAGAUGACAUAUCUCAGCAAGUAAACAGAGCAAACAACAAUUGGACAAUGUAAACCAACUGUGCUUAAACAACCAUGUAGUUCAAAACUUCCUUCUUGAAUAUUAAUUUGCAGCAAGUAAGCAAGUAACUAAUUACUUAAUGCCAAGAUGAAUCACAAUGUAAAGAUCCACACUAUCCACAUCCACAUAGUAGAUUCCACACCUCUCCCAUGAAUGCACAUGGCUACAGAUGCAGUAAUGACUUCUGCCUUCAUAUCUCUAAGGAUAUGAAGCUGCAUCAUACCCCUUCUCGGGCAACAUAUGAUGCUCAAUGUACCGGUACGGUCGGACCAUAAGAUCACGACGAACUUCCAUGCAAUGAAUAAUGAAUGCAUUAUGCAUGACAACAACAUGAGUUCUUCCCAAAUAAAAAUGUGCUAGACAUAUACUUCCACCCAUUCCACAUAAUAAACCACUUGAGUAAUAUGAUCAAACCACAAACUCAAGAUAUGUAAUCAAUAAAACAUGAAUAUCUUCAAACAAUGGUACUCAAUUAAAAAAUGAAUACGAACACAACAGCACCACAUAAUCAAGUAUAAGACUCUUCAUUCGGCAGACGGAAUAACCAUAACUGUUUUACUUGCCUUCACCGGAAAUUUGGGCAAAUCCCUAAGUACGAUCCAGAAGUCCACCACCUGUUUUUGACACACAACUUAGUGCACCAAUUUCACAUAAUAAGCCUCAAAAACAACGCCGCACCUACGCGCAAUCUUAAACCCCGUCGCGGGUAACAAUUCUCCCCAUACCCACCAAACUGCAGCGGCGCUGCUUAACAAUUCCAUAACUUUAAAAUUAAGACAGCAGUGGUGACAAACAAAAACUCCAGAGACAUCUACAUAAAAUUCCACACAAGUUUUGUAUACAAUUUUUGAUUAAAUUCCAACAUCUAAUUACCCCAAAACGUACCACAAGAUAAACCCUACAAUCUGUUUUUUUCUCCUUUGGGCAGCGACAUACCCGGAUUCAAACAGCGAUAACUUUUAAAAUAUAAUUCCAAAUCGAGCGCAUAAGUACUUGUUGGAAAGGUAAGACAAAUACCUACAUGAUUAUCAUACUGAUUAACACUAAUUACUCACGAAAAAUCCCCAGAAACUGCUAAUACUGCUGCUGUUCGUCCACCUGAAAAUCUGUUUUUUUGGACAGCCACAUACCCGGAUUCAAACGGCGAUAUCUUUUAAUUUAUAACUCCGAAUUGAGCGCAUAAAUACUCGUUGAAAAGGUAUGAAAAAGUUCUACAUGAUUCUCAAACUGAUUCCCAUUAAUUUCCCACGAAAAAUGCCCAGAAACUGCUAGAACGUUUGCUGUUCGUCCACCCCCUAAAAUUCUGGACAGCCCCUCUACCAAAUCGCAUACGCAACAUCUAAUCAAUUGGAUUGCAGCACAAAUGAACAAGAAAUAAACACAAAAAAAUCACCUUAGAUUCUUCCCUUUCUCCUUCCUUCUUCCUCCCUCCAAACUCCAAUUGAGCUCGCCACACGACGGAGAACCACGCGGAAGGACUUCACCUUGGAGAGAGGGGGGGGGGGCGGCUAGGGUUUUGGGUGGUGUGGCUGCAAUGGUUUGAGGGAGGAGGAAAUGGGAGGAGGGGGGCGGCGGCCAAGGGUGUGGGGGAAAUGGGGAAGGGCUG
rnacentral:lncRNA from 1 species